rnacentral:rRNA from 15 species
AGGGAUUUCCGAAUGGGGAACCCAACAGGUACUACCUGUUACCCGCAUCUGUUAAGGAUGUGAGGAGGAAGACGCAGUGAACUGAAACAUCUAAGUAGCUGCAGGAAGAGAAAGCAAAAGCGAUUGCCUUAGUAGCGGCGAGCGAAACGGCAGGAGGGCAAACCGAAGAGUUUACUCUUCGGGGUUGUAGGACUGCAAUGUGGACUCAAAGAUUAUAGAAGAAUGAUUUGGGAAGAUCAGCCAAAGAGAGUAAUAGCCUCGUAUUUAAAAUAGUCUUUGUACCUAGCAGUAUCCUGAGUACGGCGGGACACGUGAAAUCCCGU